CCAUCUGCCUGACCUCAUUCCCUGCUGGUGAGGGACAACAUGAGGAGACUCUGUCAGGGUUCACAACCUGGCCUCCACACGAGGCGGGCAGAGAGAGACCCAGGCAAGGGGCAGAUCAUUCUAGACUAGUAAGUGGCAGUAACAAGCUUGGGUGAGUAGAUCUUCCGACCACCUGCCAGAAUCUCAACAGUUUACACAGUGGCCUUAACCUGGAGCAGCCACGUGCAUCCUCCAGAUGGUCUCGACAACACUUUGCUCUCUCAAGGAACGCUAAGCCCUUCAAAGCAGCUUUCACUGGGGAAACUGGCGGGGAGGAGCCUCAAAUUGCCCGGAUCUAGCUCGGGGAGCAACCGGCAGUCACGUGCUCCUGAUGGCGUCCUGCAACAACUCCCUCAGUCGCCUGGCGGGAAGCGCUUCCCCACAGCGCGCGGGUGAGAGCGGCCUCAGCGAAGUCCAGAGUGGAGCUAAACCGGCACCAGCUUUCCCCACAACCUGAGUGAGAGCAGGGCCAGGACCGCAACCUGGAGGGCUCCACACGGGGGUUUUCUUGCCACCCAGAGCCAGUGGAGAGUGAGACCCAGUGAGGGUCUCACCCUCGAGUCUGUGAGAGAAGGCAGGCCCCUGGCAGGAGGAAGAGAAGCACAGACAGACCUGCUGGGGCUGAUGCAAGGAAGGGAGCUGCGUAGGCGGCCCCCUCCUACCUGUGGCCGGUGGGCUGCCCUUGCCUCGGUGGUCCUUACGGUCUGAGGCGCGGCCUUGGUCAGUUUCCCGGCUUUUCUCUCGAGGACGCUGUGCGCAGUAGAGGACCUCUCCCGGAUCUUGAGGUUACCAGAAUUAUGCUUGUGUAACAUUCAGCGCUUACCAUGAGAAUAUACACUGAAGAAAUGGACAGUGUGAUGUUUUUAUGCAACUAAGAAAAUGGAAUGAAAAAAGAUUCCUGAUAACAGUGGUUGAAGAUGAAAAGGCUGAUGUGGUUGCUACAGGAAGAGAGAAGGUAAGAGAGUAAGCAUAUGAUACUGAGAAAUCAUGAGGGAUAAUUUUAUGGUAGGCCUGUGUAUCAUGUAAGGAUUUCCAUCUGAACAGUAUUUGCAGGUUAUACACAUGGGAAAUACAGUUUCAUUCAGCUGGACUGUGGAGAAAUGGCUGACAGGGAAAUAACGGGUGCUUCAGCAGAUGGGUAGUCUAACCUGGCAAUAGAUUGACUAGAAUUGGACCUUCAUUCAUUCUAUUUCGUGGCAGAUAUUUAUGGCACAUAUGAUGAACGUAAGAUUCUUUGCUCGUUCAUCAUAAUGGGUUUACACAGUUUAGCUUUCAUAUCAUUAUUUUUGCCUUAAGACUAUAAUAAUACAUUAUAAUUAUGUAUUUUAACUGAUAAUAAAUACAUAAGUCAUUUUCCUACUUACAAAAUGCAAACAUAUUGUAGAAAUAACUACCAUAUUGAAUGGUCAGACUUAGAAAAUUGCAACAUUGAUAAGAAACUAAGUAGGACUUUGUCAUUUGGGGUACAGUGGAAUUUGAGUAGUAAAAAGUAGUAAACAACCCCAUAGCAACUCUACUAAUGUGGAAUACUCAUAUAAGCAUUCUGAUAAUAGGGUAAGUAAUAUAUCUUCUACCAUUUUCUAUGGAAAAAAAUAGCCCUCUCAAUAAUGUUAUCUGAUAUCGUACUGACAGUGGAUCUAUCUAUUUAUUUUUAAAUCAAAUAAAUUGAAGCAUAACCCAUCUCAUUUCUAUAUAAAAAUUACUUUACAAGACAUUUUUCUGAGAACAGAUAUUGAUGGUGAUAAUGAAGAGAAAAGUAUUCGAGGGACCGCUCAGAGGAAUAAAAAUGUAGAAUUUAAAAAUUAAAAAGGAAUGAACUGGAGUUAUUAUAUUUAAAAAAUAAAAAUAAAAAUUGUAAUUACAAAAUAUCUUCCUGCACCUCAGAAUGUAGGGCAUAAUUAAGUAGACAUUGUUUAUUAGUACCACAGGAUUGAAAGUUGGAUUUUUUCCCCCACGGUCUUAAUUUUCAUUACCUCUAUUUCUAAGGUGUUUUUUGUAGCACACUUUUGACUUAGUAUGUUUAUUUUAGAGUGAAGAGGAAAUCUGGGUUUUUAUAAGUUUAUUUCUCCCUCAUACCACAGUGACAAGUUUGGUUGGUUCUCUCAGGCUUUCUCAAGGAGCUGAGUUCCUCCUGUUAUGUGACUUUGCUUCCGUCUCAUAGACUGGAAGAGAGCCAGAACACAGAGUAGGCACACAGGCUCUAACCACCCAGGCCUGUAAGUGACUUAAGUCCCUCUGUUCUUAUUGUUUUGGCCAAUCUCAAUUAUAUGGAUUUUCUAAACUACAUGAGAGGCUGGAGAAUAAUUAUUUUUAUUAGCUUAGGAAGAGGCAAUGAAAGUUUAACAUUUAGCAAUGCUUCCUUCACUCAUUGUUAAACAAUGUGUUGUAUAUAUGCCCCCACCCAUAUAGUAUGAUAAAUGUGCAUAUUAUUGAAAUACAAGUGAAGUUAACAUUGUAAAGAACUCCAGUGUAAAGCAAUCUUAUAUCUUCAUCCUCACAGCCUGUCCUGAGAUAUCUUCUGCUAUCUUCUGUUUCUGGACCAUUAGUGUGUGUGAUGAUAAUCAGAACCUACUUAACAUUCCUUAGGUCUAAAUUUGUUAGACUUCUUGAAUCUUUGCCUUUCAUCUAGCACACAAAGCUUAAAAGGUAAAUCUUGAGAAAGAAGUAGAUCCUAUGUAUCAGGUAGAGAGUGGGGAAAAAGACAUUCAAAAGUAGUGGAAUCAGAGAUUAUUCUCAUGUUAUUAAGUACAAAAGGGCAGAAAAGCAACACAAGGUAGUCAAAAUUUCCAGAUAUGGAAAAGAUGCCUAAUUAUGGAGUAACUUUACUUUGGACUCCUGAUAGCUAAGUGAAGUGUCUAAAUCAUCUUUCAACUUGAGAGAUCAGUGGGACGUUGGCAGUAUGUUUUAGCCCUUAUUUUAAAAAAGUACUUAUUAUAUUUCUUUUGCCUGGAUAUCAUGCAUGUUUUUCCUUUCUAAAUUAACACUUUCACAGCAGCAUUCUAUCUGAACUGUUAUUAAAUGUUAAGAGGAUAAGCACAUCCAUUCUGAAAUAUGUGUAACUGUAAGAACAAAAUCUAUGAUUAUUGCAUUUUAUAUUUGUGAAACAGUAGAUACUCAGAGUAGUCCCACUUUCUGGUUUGGGUCAAAGCUUAGAAGGUUGAGUUUCAUCACAGUUAAAUACAUACCAGAGGUCAUGAAAAUAAAUAGUAAAGAUGGUCUUAGAGCAUAUUUCUUCACAGUCUAAGCCCAACAAUUUUUCUUCAAUAUCAUUAUGUUGCUAUAUACAUAUAUUUUUAUGUGUAAGCUUUUAAAAUUGCAUUUAGUUUUACUAAUGAACACACAUAUUGUAUGUUUGUGCAUUCAGUCUGUUAAUUUCUACUAAUAUGUAAGUCUCAAUGUUUCUGAAAUAAACGGGAAACUCAUGAUAACUGGGAUGGUGUCAUUUCUAGGGCAACAUAAACUUCUAUGGUUCAUUGCUAAUACUUAGCAUAAGUGAUAAUUCCUUUCUUAAGUAUUUUAUAAACAAUCAUAAAUGUAGGUGGUCUGGAAAUUAGCAAUAGCAUCUUAAUGUUAGGUAUAAACAAAGGUAUAAACUUAUUAGCCAGCCUUAAUUAAUAUCCUUAAAUAUUUACAUCAAAUGCAUGGGGUGUAUAUGUUUAAGCAUGAAAGAGUAAGAAAAGUGAAAGGAGAAAGAUUAACAGAAGAAUAAUUAAAAGUAUUAUGACAAAUGAGUAAAAAUUAUACAUAUACACACACACAUAUACAUGAUUUUUGCUAUUUAUGACUCCUUUAGUUUCAAGACUAUUUUUGCAAUAUUUUAUCAGGCAUUUCUGAAGGAUUUACGUUUUUACAUUUAGAAUUGGAAUGAAAUUUCUGAUACAUGAAUUUCAAUAAAUUUUGAAUAUUUCCAAACACAAAGUUUUAUUUUAACUCUUGAGAUUUCCUGAAAUAUGUGUUUUGAGGGAUGUUGAAGAGGAAAACAGCAAUAGGAUCAUGUUUUCCUUUAAAUAUGACAAUAAGACCUAGAAUUAAAACUAUGCUUGUUGUAAAUAUGAAUCAAUAUUCUAUAUUUAGACAUUCCCUUUUCACCUUACAGGACAAUCCCUUAGAAAAUAUUAUCUGUAGAAUUCAGUGAAUCUGUCACCCAAUCUAAUGUAAUCUUUUUAUGAACAUUUCAAAUUAUAACCAUCUGUCUUACAGCUUUUUCAAUAGGUAAUCUUUUUCAUUUAUAACUACAGUCAAGACAUAAUUUGGGGGCAAAAAAUGAAUUAAAAAUGUGCAUCUGCCCCCACUCCCCUUUCUAUAUUUUAUGCAAACUUUCUUAUAUUUUAAUUUCACGUUAACUGCUUUUUCACCUUUUGUGUCUUCCCUGGAUUUCCCUCUGUUCUUGGUUAUACUAGGGUUGUAGUACUAUGGAUGUUGUAAAAAAAGAUUCUGAGAGUAGCUUUGUGGUGAAUUUAAUUUAAAACAGGGAUUAGAAUCUCAGAUAAUACUUAAUAAUUAAAUGAUAUAAUCAAAUUAGUUAUCUAAUCUGAGAUAGAAUACCUUAUUUUUGAUAUUAUCAACAUGAAAUGUAAUUAUAUUUAUUAUAUAGCUGGUACUGAUAAAGAGUGAUGUAUAAAUAGCCAAGGCCAUUACCAUCCAUGUAAUUACAGUCUAAUAUUAUAUUAAGCAUGUAUUAACCUUAGUGAACAUAAUCAUCACAAGCAUAGAUUGUUUUGAUUGGUCUGAAGGAGACUUGCAGAAUUAUGAAAAAGUGAAAUGAAAAGAAUAAAAAGUUAAUGAGUAGUACAUGUAAACAGAUAACCACAAAGCACAUAGAUUUGAAACACAUGAUUAACAAAAUUGAUCUAAAGAAUGUAUAUUCAGUAUUACACCAAAAAGAGCAAGAUAAUGUGUUCACAGAAGUUCAUAUGGAAUAGUUCACAAAUUGUUCUUUAGACUGUAAAAUAAGUCUUAAAAAAUACCAAAGGACUGGCUGAAAUAAUGAAAAUAUGUUCUCUCAGCAGAGUAGAAUUAAAUGAGAAAUUAAGACUAAAUAGAUAAAUAUCCCCAUUGCAACUCCCAGACCAAAAUUUCAAUAACAACUUUAUGACAAUGAGCUCCCAUAAUAAUAUUUCAUGAACAUUAUGAUAAUAAAUUUAAAAUUUUAGAUGAAAUGGAAGUCACUGAAAAAACUGAUAAAAAUAGAAAAUAUAGUCUCAUAUCUAUUAAAUAAAUUAACAUUUUAAUUGAAAUUAUUCCCACAAAGUAAACUCCAGCCCCUUUUGAAUUUUCCAGUGAACUAUCACAUAUAUUUCAGAAAGAAAUAGCAUCAUGAUCACAAAAAAUUUACCAGGAUGUAAAAAAAUAUAGCAGAAACUUUAUUUUACAAAGCCAACAUUAUCAUGAUACUAAUAUGUAACAAAAUCAUUACAAGAAAAAUUAAUUUUAUGUCAAUCCUUAUCAUUUUGGGGUCCCUGCUAUUUAUUUCUAGAAACAUACUGCUAUCAGUGUGGUUGUUGGGCUACCUUUUAAAUUGUUCAUAAUACUGGGAUGUUCAAACUAGUUAGUGGCCUGAUUCCAAAGACUUUGUCUUUGUAUACCUUUUAAUGAAAUAUGGAAAAACAAUUUCACAUAGAUGACAUUAUGUACCUAUAAGAAAUUAUCUGGACAAAAUACUUUUUCUGUUAUUUGCUGAAAGUGAAUCAUGUUGUGUACAGUGUUACAAAAAAUGUUCUGGUAACUUACUGACAUUGACAAUUUUAUGAAAUUCAAUUAUCCUUGAAUUUUAUAUGCAAUUAUAUUACAAAUGAAAAAAAAAAACUUUAUUUUUCUUUCCUGAAAGGAGUGUUAAGUACAAAUUAGUUACAGCAGGGAUUCUGUUUUACAACUCAUUACAAUCUGCUCAACUCACUUCCUGGAGAAGUGCCUAAACUGUAGCUUAAGAAUUACACACUUGGAAAAUUCUUGUUUGCUAUAAUAGAUACACAAAAGUGUUAUGAACCAACAGCGCUGAAAAUUAUUAAAGUGUAUUAUCUUGUUCUUUUGUCACCUACGGUUUAAUUGAUGCCUAUCGUUUGUUUAAUUACUGUAUUUAAAACAUAUUUGUAGUUGGCUCUAACCUACAUAUUAUUCUAUCCUUUCACUUUUCUGGUUCCACAUAAUGAUAAUGCUACUAAUAGCAAGCUGUCUAUUUGGUGUGAGUAUUUUUAGAAAGAAAAAUUAGAAUAUAGGUAGAUCUGUGUAUACACUAGAGUUGAUCUUAAUUCAAUGACUAAACAAAAAUAUAAAGAUCUCGCAUAUAGAUUUUAAAUGAAUAUAAAAUGUCCAUUUAUGUUCAUUAUAAAAAUAUGUAAAACUCUUUGCCUAUUUGUGUAUUUACCAAAUAAACUAACAAACAAAAAUAGACUUAUGUGAAAGGCUAGGGCCUCUUUAAAAAUAAACAAAAUUGAGUUGUCCAGUUUGAUGUAAUUAUGAAUUCAUUCAUAUAUUGUUCUCAUAGCUACAUUUUUGAGAUCAGUGUCUAUACAGCAAGCAGUGAUAAUAGCAGCACACAAUAGUAUGCAUAUUUGUAUUCUCUAAAAAAUAAUUCCCAUUUUCCCUCUCAUUUCAUUAUCAUUAAAAGACACAGAAUAAACCUCAUAAUCUAUAGAAUCAAGGAUUCAAACCUAAAGGUUACAUAUAGCACGUUUGAAAAAUUAAAAUCUGAGGUUGAAAGUAAAAGAAAUAUAUAUGACCAUGUGUGUACAACAUACACACAUACACAAAGCACAUUAUUUAGUUUCAGUUUUGUCGUGAGAAGCCCUCACUAUUCAGAAGGAAGUGGGGGGAAGUACUUUGUAUUAUUAAUCAUGGAGCAGGAUGUAGAAAUAGUAAGACUUGAAUCAAAAUUUAGCAGACUUUGGUUGGAAAAUUAGCGCAUAGUAAGGGAGUAAGGGAAAUAGUUUGGAGAUAAGAUCUAGAAAAAUCACCAUGAAGAAUAUUUGGUAAUUAAGAAUAUUUUAUAAGAAAUAUGGCCUGACUUCUCUAUAUGUGCUGAGAUUGUGCCUUAGGAAAUUUUAAUUGGAUAGUGUUCAACUUUUCUCUCUUCCUGUCUCUAAGUUCUAUUAUAUGUUAAUAUAUCAAUAUAUCAUAAUAUAUGAUAUUGAUCAUAUCAUAAUAUAUCAAUUGAUUUAUAUUGAUACAUUGAUAUUGAUAUCUAUAUUUCAAUAAACCUCCUAUUUGUCUACUAAACUGAAUAGACAUAAAUUCUCUACCAAAUAUUUCCUAAUGACUGAUCAAGACUUUGCAGCCACUGAAAAGGAACUGUCUCUACUUGUUUUCUUAACUGAAGUCUCCAACCCAGAUACUGCUGGAAAAAUAUCCAUGAAAACAAAGAUACAUUGGCUUCUUUGAUUUUAACACUCAAAUAGCAUUAAAGUUAAUCAGUACAGGAAAACAAUUUGGUCAGAUUGAAUCAAGCAAAGCUUCUUUCUAAAAUAUUCAAAUAUAUUUCAAGUGUGAAAGCCUAAGAAAAUGUUACUAGAAAAGUCUUCUGGAAAUAUUUUUUUAACUGCUGACCUGAUCUGGUCUGCUAAGAAUUAACUCACAUUGUAAUUAGAUAUGAUUAUUUUCAUAUUCUAUCAGAUUUCAUUAUCUAAUAUUUGAUUUAAUAUUUUAAGGUCUAUUUUCUUAAGUGAAAUGUUUAACUUCUAUGAUACUCUUGCUCAAAUACACUUUCAGGCUAUACAGUCGUUGGAGAAUAAGCUAUAAAAAUUUACACUGCCUCAUAAAUACAAUAUUUUCUCUAAUUAUUUAUCUUUUGCUUGUUGUUUUUUUAUAUUUCAGCCACAGUACCCUUGUGGUUUAAUUAUAGUUUGGGUGAUUAAUUUUUUUUCUAGUUAUCUGUAAUUUUUCUCUUUAAUUCAUGGUCGAUUCUUUUUCUUGAAAUCUGUUACAAACAUCUGCUAAUCUCUAUUAUACUAGACCAGAGGCUAGCAAUUGUUUUCUAUAAAGGUCUAGAGAGUAAAUAUGUUAGGAUUUCUGGGCUUUACUUUCUCUGUCAUUACUACUCAGCUCUGCUCUUUUAGCACAAAUGUAGCCAUACGUGAAUGAUCAUGGCUAUGCUCCAAUGUAACUUGAUUAACAAAGACAUGCAGUGAGCCAGACUUGGCCUGUGGUCCCUAAUAUGCCCACCCUGUGCUAGAUUUGCAUGCAUCAUAAAGUUUUUCAUAUGAAAUGCUCUAAUGUUCACAUUAACUCAGUUUUAAAUUUCCUUCAUUUUCCCUUUCUACCAUUGCUGGUGUUUUAUAUUUCAGACUUUAUGCAUUUUUUUUUAAAUCAAACCUACUGGGGCACCUGGGUGGCUCAGUCUAUUAAAGGUCCCACUUUGGCUAAGGUUAUGAUCUCAUGGUUUGUGAGUUCAAGCCCCA